GCGGACGUAGUUUAGUGGUAAAAUAAAAGCCUUCCAAGCUUUGGUUGUGGGUUCGAUUCCCAUCGUCCGCUCCA
rnacentral:tRNA from 1 species